GACGAACGCUGGCGGCGUGCUUAACACAUGCAAGUCGAACGGAAAGGCCCUGCUUUUGUUGGGUGCUCGAGUGGCGAACGGGUGAGUAACACGUGAGUAACCUGCCCUUGACUUUGGGAUAACUUCAGGGAACUGGGGCUAAUACCGGAUAGGAGCUCCUGCUGCAUGGGGGGGGUUGGAAAGUUUCGGCGGUUGGGGAUGGACUCGCGGCUUAUCAGCUUGUUGGUGGGGUAGUGGCUUACCAAGGCUUUGACGGGUAGCCGGCCUGAGAGGGUGACCGGCCACAUUGGGACUGAGAUACGGCCCAGACUCCUACGGGAGGCAGCAGUGGGGAAUAUUGCACAAUGGGCGGAAGCCUGAUGCAGCAACGCCGCGUGCGGGAUGACGGCCUUCGGGUUGUAAACCGCUUUCGACUGUGACGAAGCGUUAGUGACGGUAAUGGGUCAAGAAGCACCGGCUAACUACGUG
rnacentral:rRNA from 1 species